CGUCUUCAGGGCGGGGUGAAAUUCCCCACCGGCGGUAAAGCCCGCAAGCCUUUUUGGCAGAUUCGGUGUAAUUCCGAAGCCGACGGUACAGUCCGGAUGAAAGAAGAA
rnacentral:ncRNA from 1 species